ACAACAUAAGGAAAUUGAACAGGAGCAUCAUUAAGAAUGGUGGAAGCCAUGUUGUCCAUGUGGUUCUUUUUGCACUGUUUUGUUUCUUUGUUGUCUACAUGUGGUCCAAAUUAUCCAGAAGAUGAGGUAUUACUGUUGGCCACUGAAAAAAUGUCCAGAUCAAUGGGCAUUCCAUGGGUAGAUUCGGAUUUGGGAGUUGAAAUGGAGGAUCCAUUUGUAAAAUCUUCACAUUAACUUCUUUAUUUAACAUUAGUUUUUGAUAUAGUUAAAAUCC
rnacentral:misc_RNA from 1 species